UGCGAAAUAAAGGAUCGGCUAACUCCGUGCCAGCAGCCGCGGUAAUACGGAGGAUCCGAGCGUUAUCCGGAUUUAUUGGGUUUAAAGGGUGCGCAGGCGGGAUGUUAAGUCGGCGGUGAAAUUUUGCAGCUCAACUGUAAAAGUGCCUUCGAUACUGGCUUUCUUGAGUGUGGAUGAAGUAGGCGGAAUUUGUGGUGUAGCGGUGAAAUGCUUAGAUAUCACGAGGAACUCCGAUUGCGCAGGCAGCUUACUAAACCACUACUGACGCUCAUGCACGAAGGCGUGGGGAUCAAACAGGAUUAGAUACCCUGGUAGUCCACGCAGUAAACGAUGAUUACUAGUUGUUUGCGAUACAAUGUAAGCGACUGAGCGAAAGCGUUAAGUAAUCCACCUGGGGAGUACGUUCGCAAGAAUGAAACUCAAAGGAAUUGACGGGGGCCCGCACAAGCGGAGGAACAUGUGGUUUAAUUCGAUGAUACGCGAGGAACCUUACCCGGGCUUGAAAUGCGGCGGACCGGCAGAGAGAUCUGCCUUCCCUUCGGGGCCGCCGUGUAGGUGCUGCAUGGUUGUCGUCAGCUCGUGCCGUGAGGUGUCGGCUUAAGUGCCAUAACGAGCGCAACCCUCAUCAUUAGUUACUAACAGGUCAUGCUGAGGACUCUAGUGAGACUGCCAUCGUAAGAUGCGAGGAAGGUGGGGAUGACGUCAAAUCAGCACGGCCCUUACGUCCGGGGCGACACACGUGUUACAAUGGGUGGUACAAAGGGCAGCUACCUGGCGACAGGAUGCUAAUCUCCAAAACCACUCUCAGUUCGGAUCGGAGUCUGCAACUCGACUCCGUGAAGCUGGAUUCGCUAGUAAUCGCG
rnacentral:rRNA from 1 species